AAGGAUCAUUAAUAAUGCCCUUUGACUUCGGUCUAUUGGGUUCAAUGUGUGCCUUCUCUUCGGAGUUGGCCAUCCACACACACCGUGAACUGUGGCUUCGGCCAUCACAAACUAUUAGUAAUGAAUGUAAUAUCAUAACAAAAUAAAACUUUUAACAACGGAUCUCUUGGCUCUCGCAUCGAUGAAGAACGCAGCGAAAUGCGAUAAGUAAUGUGAAUUGCAGAAUUCAGUGAAUCAUCGAAUCUUUGAACGCACCUUGCGCCCUUUGGUAUUCCGAAGGGCAUGCCUGUUUGAGUGUCAUGAAACCUCACUCCACUUGGGUUUUUGCCUGAGUGGUAGUGUAUUGGGUGUUGCCUUGCCAAAGGCUCGCCUUAAAAGAAUAAGCACCUUGGAUGUAAUACGUUUCAUCCUUCUGGGUGGCUAAUAACCCCACAUAUCUCAUGAUCUGGCCUCAAAUCAGGUAGGGCUACCCGCUGAACUUAAGCAUAUCAAUAAGCGGAGGAAAAGAAACUAACUAGGAUUCCCUUAGUAACGGCGAGUGAACCGGGAUGAGCUCAAAUUUGAAAUCUGGCGUCUUUCAGGCGUCCGAGUUGUAAUCUAUAGAGGCGUUUUCCGCGCCGGACCGCGUCCAAGUCUCUUGGAAUAGAGUAUCAAAGAGGGUGACAAUCCCGUACUUGACGCGACAACCGGUGCUCUGUGAUACGUUCUCAACGAGUCGAGUUGUUUGGGAAUGCAGCUCUAAAUGGGUGGUAAAUUCCAUCUAAGGCUAAAUAUUGGCGAGAGACCGAUAGCGAACAAGUACCGUGAGGGAAAGAUGAAAAGCACUUUGGAAAGAGAGUUAAACAGCACGUGAAAUUGUUAAAAGGGAAACGAUUGAAGUCAGUCGUGUGAAAGGUAUUCAGCCGUCUCUGGCGGUGUAUUUGCCUUUCACGGGUCAACAUCAGUUUAGUCCGGUAGAAAAAGGCUGGAGGAAGGUGGCACCCUCGGGUGUGUUAUAGCCUCCUGUCACAUGUGCCGGAUUAGACUGAGGAACGCAGCUUGCAGCAAUGCCGGGGUUCGCCCACGUACAAGCUUAGGAUGUUGACAUAAUGGCUUUAAACGACC
rnacentral:rRNA from 1 species